GGCCAGUUAGCUCAGUCAGUUGAGUGUGGCGCUAAGAAUGCCAAGGCGGCGGGUUCAAUUCCCUUUCGGUCCC
rnacentral:tRNA from 1 species